GGCUCCAUAGCUCAGUGGUUAGAGCACUGGCCUUGUAAACCAGGGUUCACAAGUUUGAUCCUCGCUGGGGCCU
rfam:Chelonia mydas contig152327, whole genome shotgun sequence.